GGAAAACUUGGAGCGUGUCCAAAGAUAAUAACCAGGAUGAAAAAGCUGAAGUACAUGCUUAAUGAAGAUCAAUAAAAGAAACACAGAAAGCUGCUUAGGAAAAGGAAGAAGAGACUGCCUGGAAGUUAGAAAGUUCAAGUCCUUUCUCUGACAUAUACAAGCUGUAUGAUUCAGAGCAAGUCUCUCAAGACUCCCUACAAUUCUUUGAGAUUGGAAGCUGUGGAAAUGAUCAGCCUCCAUUAGCAGGAGUUUUCUCAUUUGGGUACUCCCAAUACCAAGAAAAGAUCCAUUCCCUAUCCCUGGAGGAGGAAGGAUCCAUUGGGAAAGCAGGCGGAGCACAUCUGCAGGAUUGUGGGUAUCUCUGGGGUCAAAAUUUACGAAGAACAUUGACAAGCUGGAGCAUGUCCAGGAUGGUGAGGGAAUUUAAAACAACCAUGGCCUAUGAAGAAAAAUGGAAUGAGAAUAUUUGACUUGGAAAAGAGCUUUCGGGGAAACACAAUUGCUGACUUCAAUUAUAUGAAAGUCUGUCAUGUGGAAGAGAUAUAUUAGUCUUGUUCUGUUUGAUUCCAAAGGGCAAAACUAGGAACACUCAGGAGGAGUGGGGUACAAUGUUAAAGAAACUAAUUUUCAUAUAAGGAAGAAUGUACUAACAAUAUAUUUCCUGGGGAAAGACUGCUUAUCUGACAGAAACUACCGAGAAAAGUAGAAAAUAGCUUGGCAAAAAUUAGGUUCAUGCAAACAUCUUAAACCAUAUAGAUUCCAAAAUGAUAGUCAACUGAAAUAUAAAGGGUUAAAUCAUAAAAAAAUCUAAGUGGAUUGAGGGCCUUUUUGCAACUUUGGCUAGGGAAAGAAUUUUAACCAAAGUCACAAGUUAAACUAUGUCUAUUUGAAUUUUUGAAAACUGUCACAUGAACAAAAUCAGCAUAGGUAGAAAAGGAAAGAUGAUGACUGACAAAAUGCUUUAUAUUAUUUAAUGUCUGAUAUACAAGUUAUAUAAGGAAUUAAUCCAAUGUAUAAAGACCAAGAGUUAUUCUCCAAUGCAUAAGUGGUCAAAAGAUAUUAAUAAAGUUUUUUUUUUAA